ACUUUAUACAUAAUGAAUCCGCCACCUAUAACAUUCCUAUUGAUUGAAGAGCAUAUUUUUCUACAAGACCCUACAAUUUAAUCAGACUGUAAAAGUUUAAUCAUGGGAAACAGGCCUUUAAUUUAUUCAAGCAUUUGUGCAUCACAAUUAGAUACUGUAAUUACACUAGACAUUUUGCAAGGCUAUUCUUUCUUCUUCGCAUGAGUAACAAAACAUUCUGUAGUAGACUGGCUUUCUCUUCUUUUUUAUUGCAAGCAAUAUGAAAUGGAAGCAGAAAUA
rnacentral:misc_RNA from 1 species